GUGGGGAAUCUUCCGCAAUGGACGAAAGUCUGACGGAGCAACGCCGCGUGAGUGAAGAAGGUUUUCGGAUCGUAAAGCUCUUUCGUUAGGGACGAACGUGCUCUUUGUGAAUAAUGAGGAGUAAUGACGGUACCUAAAUAAGAAGCCACGGCUAACUACGUGCCAGCAGCCGCGGUAAUACGUAGGUGGCAAGUGUUGUCCGGAAUUAUUGGGCGUAAAGCGCGCGCAGGCGGGAUAUCAAGUCUGUCUUAAAAGUGCGAGGCUCAACCUCGUGAGGGGACAGAAACUGGUAUUCUUGAGUGUCGGAGAGGAAAGUGGAAUUCCAAGUGUAGCGGUGAAAUGCGUAGAGAUUUGGAAGAACACCAGUGGCGAAGGCGACUUUCUGGACGAUGUCUGACGCUGAGGCGCGAAAGCUAGGGGAGCGAACGGGAUUAGAAACCCUAGUAGUCC
rnacentral:rRNA from 1 species